CAGGCCUAACACAUGCAAGUCGAGCGGAUGAAGGGAGCUUGCUCCCUGAUUCAGCGGCGGACGGGUGAGUAAUGCCUAGGAAUCUGCCUGGUAGUGGGGGACAACGUCUCGAAAGGGACGCUAAUACCGCAUACGUCCUACGGGAGAAAGCAGGGGACCUUCGGGCCUUGCGCUAUCAGAUGAGCCUAGGUCGGAUUAGCUAGUUGGUGAGGUAAUGGCUCACCAAGGCUGCGAUCCGUAACUGGUGUGAGAGGAUGAUCAGUCACACUGGAACUGAGACACGGUCCAGACUCCUACGGGAGGCAGCAGUGGGGAAUAUUGGACAAUGGGCGAAAGCCUGAUCCAGCCAUGCCGCGUGUGUGAAGAAGGUCUUCGGAUUGUAAAGCACUUUAAGUUGGGAGGAAGG
rnacentral:rRNA from 1 species